GAGUUUGAUCGUGGCUCAGAUUGAACGCUGGCGGCAUGCCUUACACAUGCAAGUCGAACGGCAGCAUGAUCUAGCUUGCUAGAUUGAUGGCGAGUGGCGAACGGGUGAGUAAUACAUCGGAACGUGCCCUGUAGUGGGGGAUAACUAGUCGAAAGAUUAGCUAAUACCGCAUACGACCUGAGGGUGAAAGUGGGGGACCGCAAGGCCUCAUGCUAUAGGAGCGGCCGAUGUCUGAUUAGCUAGUUGGUGGGGUAAAGGCCCACCAAGGCGACGAUCAGUAGCUGGUCUGAGAGGACGAUCAGCCACACUGGGACUGAGACACGGCCCAGACUCCUACGGGAGGCAGCAGUGGGGAAUUUGGACAAUGGGCGAAAGCCUGAUCCAGCAAUGCCGCGUGUGAAGAAGGCCUCGG
rnacentral:rRNA from 1 species